UGAAUACGAGACGCUACGGCGUCGAAGCAGUCUAUGUCAUACUUCCAAGAAAAGCUUGCACUGUCAUAAACAAAUAAUGCCUGUACCAUAACCGACACAGGUGGGUAGGUAGAGUAUACUAAGGGGCGCGAGAUAACUCUCUCUAAGGAACUCGGCAAAAUGACUCCGUAACUUCGGGAGAAGGAGUGCCUUAUUUAUAAGGUUGCAAUAACAAGAUCCAAGCAACUGUUUAUCAAAAACACAGGUCUCCGCUAAGUCGUAAGACGAUGUAUGGGGGCUGACGCCUGCCCAGUGCCAGAAGGUUAAAGAAGUUGGUUAGCAUUAGCGAAGCUGAUAACUGAAGCCCUGGUGAACGGCGGCCGUAACGAUAACGGUCCUAAGGUAGCGAAAUUCCUUGUCGGGUAAGUUCCGACCCGCACGAAAGGCGUAAUGAUUUGGAUACUGUCUCGGAGAGGGGCUCGGUGAAAUAGACUUGUCUGUGAAGAUGCGGACUACCUGCACCUGGACAGAAAGACCCUAUGAAGCUUUACUGUAACCUGAAAUUGAAAUUGGACUUUAUUUGCGCAGUAUAGGUGGGAGGCGUUGAGAAUAUUCUUGCGGGAAUAUUGGAGCCAUCAGUGAGAUACCACUCUUGUAAUGUUAGAUUUCUAACUUUGAAUCAUUAUCUGGUCAAAGAACAGUUUCAGGCGGCAGUUUGACUGGGGCGGUCGCCUCCUAAAUGGUAACGGAGGCGCACAAAGGUUUCCUCUGAACGGGUAGAAAUCGUAUCUAGAGUGUAAAGGCAUAAGGAAGCUUGACUGUGAGACCUACAAGUCGAGCAGGGACGAAAGUCGGUCUUAGUGAUCUGACGGUGCUGAGUGGAAAGGCCGUCACUCAACGGAUAAAAGUUACUCUAAGGAUAACAGGCUGAUCUCCCCCAAGAGUUCACAUCGACGGGGAGGUUUGGCACCUCGAUGUCGGCUCAUCGCAUCCUGGGGCGGUAGUACGUCCCAAGGGUUGGGCUGUUCGCCCAUGAAAGCGGUACGCGAGCUGGGUUCAGAACGUCGUGAGACAGUUCGGUCCAUAUCCGGUGUAGGCGUUAGAAUAUUGAGAGGAGCCUUCUUUAGUACGAGAGGACCGAGAAGGACAUACCUCUGGUGUACCAGUUAUCGUGCCAACGGUAAACGCUGGGUAGCUAUGUAUGGAGAGGAUAACCGCUGAAAGCAUCUAAGUGGGAAGCCCACCUCAAGAUAAG
rnacentral:rRNA from 1 species